AAUCUAGAAAUAAGUAUAACUAUGCAUACAACCGCUUCAUGGACUACCGUACGAAUAAAAAUGUAACUUCUUUCUCGGAAAAUGUUGUAAUGGCAUACUUCUUGGAGCUUGGUUCCAAGAUGAAUUCUUCAACUUUAUGGGCCAAUUAUUCAAUGCUGAAGGCAACCCUUGCUAUUAGAGAUGAUGUGGAUAUAUCUGAAUAUUCAAAACUUCGGGCAUUCCUGAAACAACAAGCACAUGCCUAUAAGCCAAAAAAAUCCAAGAUUUUAACUAAAGAAGAAAUAAACAAAUUUAUUCAGGAAGCUCCAGACAAGGAAUAUUUAAUGAUUAAGGUAGCUGUAAUAUUUGGAAUUUCCGGAGCUUGCAGAAUGGACGAGCUGGUUAAAAUGACUGUACAAGAUAUACAAGACCUACUAUCUAAACUUUUAGUUACCAUACCGGAUUCAAAAACCAAUACAUCAAGAUCAUUUAUAGUAAUAGUUAUUGUCAUACAAAUAAAAUUAUUAGUUUGGAAAAUAUUCAACAAAAUAAUGCUAUUAGUUCCCAAGUUCUUCCAGUUUUCAAUACUUGUACUAAUUGUCAAAUAACAGUAAAUAUAACAAAUAAUAAGUAAUAAUUUUAAAAUAUAAUGUUAACCUUGUUUGUGCUGAAAGUUUUAAAAAUAAAAUUGUUUAGGAAAAAG